rnacentral:lncRNA from 1 species
GUCAAGCUAGGUAGUUCAUUGAGUGUUUGGACAGCUCUCCUAAAAUGCAAGUAAGGUGAGUUCUUUGAAAUCAGGAUGCAUCAUGAAAUUGCCUUGGCCAAAAUGGUUUUUUUUCUGCUGCAAUUGCUGCUACCAGUGACAGCAAAUUAUGGCCUUGGUCUGCUAUGAGCAGUACCAAGCAUGGCAAGGCUCAUGUUGUUGGAUGUUUUGACAGCUCUUUU